AUUUGUGUUUAUAGAUCACGACGAAUCAACGAAGGAACAUUGAUUUGUAUACAGCAGAAUAGUUUGAUUUAAUUCAGAUUCUAACCUUACGGAAUGUAUAUUGUCUUUUCUUCGGUAGAGUCGAAACGACCAUAAACUUUAUUAUGCACCUAAAAAUGCUACGUUUAUUGUAUCGAACGAUUAUGAACAAACUCUAAAAACUAUACGGUAAUCUAAUAAAACAAUUUUUUUUUUUCCUCGAUCAACACGGUUGUUAUUAUCUCGCAUAGUUCGGACACGAGCGUAUAAUAUAC